UACGUAGGGUCCGAGCGUUAAUCGGAAUUACUGGGCGUAAAGCGUGCGCAGGCGGCUUUGUAAGCCAGAUGUGAAAUCCCCGGGCUCAACCUGGGAACUGCAUUUGGGACUGCAAGGCUAGAGUACGGCAGAGGGGGGUAGAAUUCCUGGUGUAGCAGUGAAAUGCGUAGAUAUCAGGAGGAAUACCGAUGGCGAAGGCAGCCCCCUGGGUCGAUACUGACGCUCAUGCACGAAAGCGUGGGGAGCAAACAGG
rnacentral:rRNA from 1 species